GACAUUACCCACAAUCAGGAGCCCAGUAUAUAGUAGUGCAAUUACUGCGAUUAAAAUAAUAAUUACUAAGGUGUAAAAUAUUAAUUAAAACUCAUGGAUCUAAAUUUAUAUGAUUUUCAAGGUUCACCCUUAAAAAGGUAUAUCAUCUUUUAAGUAUAAUUUAUUAAGUAUCUACCUUUUUGAACUUAGCUAAGUGUAAUUAAUGGUUUUAAGGCUGAGACUUGGCUUGUGAACCUAACAACUUAGCAUGGAUUAAUAAUAGUAUAUUUAGCCUUAAUAAACUCACCAUGCCUCGGAAUUGUUGAGGCAUCAGGAGCUUCCUCAUCUAGCCUGGGCACCUAGGCAGGCACCGGGAACAUAAUUGACAACAUUGCUUCUUGCCCAGCCCAUUAGCCUUGUUAUUUUCUUUUGUUAGAUACGGAUAAGCCCUUUUGUUGUAUACUACAAAUAUCCACGUUCCACAUUCCUCUUCCUUAUUUGAAUUAACCUAGGGCCUUCUUAAAGUUUCAUGCCUUAGGAAUGGUCUCUUAAAGGAUUUGGACCUGUAUUGUCUGUAUAGAUUUCUAUUUUUGGACUUCUUUUUUUGUAUUCUUGCUGCUUGCCACAUACACUUAGUUUGUAUGGUUCAGCGUGGACCUUGACAUGGAGAAAUUAUAUCCUACCCCAUGUGCACCACGUGGCGGUGCACCACACCAAUCAUACUAUCCAUGAUUGUGACAAAAAUCAGGCAUCUUGAUUUUCAGAGAAACUGCCUUUUUCCAAAGAUGUCAGUUUUCCCCCCACCUCCAGCAGGCUCCCUGAGGCACACACACACACACACACACACAUGAAGGAAUAUUUGGAGAAGGCAGAAACAAAGACCUGGCCCUAAAUGACAAUUGAGGUCUGAACUUGUAUACUGUUAUCAGAGCAUUCUAACCAAAGUAAUUCACUCAGCUUCUUGCUUAGACAUCCUUCAGAUAUUUCAAUGAACUAAUUUAUGUAAACAUUUCUUGGUUCAUCUGGGUUCCAAGGAAAUGAAUCUGACAUCUCGGCACAUGCACAUGCAUCAUAAACAACAUCUCUAUUGUCAUCAUGCUCUUCAUUAUUGUAUUUCUAACGAUAUUUCAUUGGAGAUCAUAAUUAACGAUUUGGUAAAAUGA
rnacentral:lncRNA from 1 species